CCUGUUUUUACUAUAUUCAUGGCAUAUAAUGAAUUAUUUAUUCUUUUGAAUGUAAUUUGAUUUUUAUUGCAAGUAUUUAUUGAUUUGUGAGAGUUAUAGAAUGUUGAAUUAAUAAAUACAGUGGGCACUAUGGGCAAUGUGGGCAAUAUGAGUAUCGUGGGCACUAUUAAUUCAUAAUAUUGAAUUAGUGCAUUGCUCACUCUUGCAUAAAACAUUGUUUAUCCCAUUCUAAUAAUAGUUCUCAGUAUGUAGAUAUAUUGCUUG
rnacentral:lncRNA from 1 species